UUUUUCAAAGCACAACCAAAGGCAUUAGGGACUGUCCAGAUAAUGGUUGGAGUGAUGGUUUUCUUGUGUGGUAUUGUACGCACCACCAAUAUCUAAAAUUAUCCUUACCCAGCCAUUUCUGUCAUUAGUGGCAUCACCUACUGGGGAUCCCUUAUUUACAUCAGUGCUGGCUCUCUGUCCGUUGAUGCGAACAACAGACUUCAUCUGUGUGGGGUGAAAGCCUCUCUUGUAAUGAAUGUGAUCAGUGCCAUAACUGCAGGACUCGCCAUUCUUCUGAUGAGCAUAGAGUUACGACUCAUUUCAGAUCCCAAUCAAAGGUGCUCCUAUAGCUACGAUCAUACUGACUCCAACAUCUGUUUAAAUUUUAAGAGAUAUGAUCUGGGCGAUUCACUGGAAUAUUGCGGUGUUCUCCAU